rnacentral:rRNA from 1 species
GACAUAGGUGGCGAACGUUAUCCGGAAUCAUUGGGCGUAAAGCGCACGUAGGCGGCCUUGUAAGUCGGAUGUGAAAUCCCACGGCUCAACCGUGGAAGUGCAUCCGAAACUGCGAGGCUCGAGUAUGGAAGAGGGUCGCAGAAUUCCCGGUGUAGAGGUGAAAUUCGUAGAUAUCGGGAGGAAUACCAGUGGCGAAGGCGGCGACCUGGGCCAAUACUGACGCUGAGGUGCGAAAGCGUGGGGAGCAAACAGG